UAGGGAAUCUUCCGCAAUGGACGCAAGUCUGACGGAGCAACGCCGCGUGAGUGAAGAAGGAUUUCGGUUCGUAAAACUCUGUUGUUAGAGAAGAACAGCGCAUAGAGUAACUGUUAUGCGUGUGACGGUAUCUAACCAGAAAGCCACGGCUAACUACGUGCCAGCAGCCGCGGUAAUACGUAGGUGGCAAGCGUUGUCCGGAUUUAUUGGGCGUAAAGCGAGCGCAGGCGGUCAAUUAAGUCUGAUGUGAAAGCCCCCGGCUCAACCGGGGAGGUUCAUUGGUAGCUGGUUGACUUGAGUGUAGAAGAGGAGAGUGGAAUUCCAUGUGUAGCGGUGAAAUGCGUAGAUAUUUGGAGGAACACCAGUGGCGAAGGCGACUCUCUGGUCUGUAACUGACGCUGAGGCUCGAAAGCGUGGGUAGCAAACAGG
rnacentral:rRNA from 1 species